rnacentral:rRNA from 1 species
GUGGGGAAUAUUGGACAAUGGGGGGAACCCUGAUCCAGCCAUGCCGCGUGUGUGAAGAAGGCCUUUUGGUUGUAAAGCACUUUAAGCGAGGAGGAGGCUACCGAGAUUAAUACUCUUGGAUAGUGGACGUUACUCGCAGAAUAAGCACCGGCUAACUCUGUGCCAGCAGUCGCGGUAAUACAGAGGGUGCAAGCGUUAAUCGGAUUUACUGGGCGUAAAGCGCGCGUAGGUGGCCAAUUAAGUCAAAUGUGAAAUCCCCGAGCUUAACUUGGGAAUUGCAUUCGAUACUGGUUGGCUAGAGUAUGGGAGAGGAUGGUAGAAUUCCAGGUGUAGCGGUGAAAUGCGUAGAGAUCUGGAGGAAUACCGAUGGCGAAGGCAGCCAUCUGGCCUAAUACUGACACUGAGGUGCGAAAGCAUGGGGAGCAAACAGGAUUAGAUACCCUGGUAGUCC